UACGAAGGGGGCUAGCGUUGUUCGGAUUUACUGGGCGUAAAGAGCUCGUAGGUGGUUUGUCGCGUUGUUCGUGAAAACCGGGGGCUUAACCCUCGGCGUGCGGGCGAUACGGGCAGACUGGAGUACUGCAGGGGAGACUGGAAUUCCUGGUGUAGCGGUGGAAUGCGCAGAUAUCAGGAGGAACACCGAUGGCGAAGGCAGGUCACUGGGCCGCAACUGACGCUGUAGAGCGAAAGCGUGGGGAGCGAACAGGAU
rnacentral:rRNA from 1 species